rnacentral:sRNA from 1 species
UACAACAGAAUCGGCUCCUCAAGGGUGGUCGGCUCAUCUCCCAUGUCGGAAACGGGGGAGGUGACGCCUGUGACAGUGUUCCAAGCAUUGACGUUGAUGAUUUCAUUCGCAAUGCUCGUGGUAGCGAUCCUGUCUUUCCCAAAAAAGAAAUAGACCUCCCUUGGGUCCAAAUCCGGAGAGGUCUAUCUCUAGUUAAUCCUUGAGCCGCCCCCAUGUAGGGAACGUCUGUUGUAUAGGCCGUAGGUGCUGGAACACCUGCG